rnacentral:rRNA from 1 species
UGGGAACGCGAAGAACCUUACCUAAGCUUGACAUCCUUUUGUACCGAUGCCUAAUCGCAUUUUUCCCUUCGGGACGAGAAGUGACAGGUGGUGCAUGGUUGUCGUCAGCUCGUGUCGUGAGAUGUUGGGUUAAGUCCCGCAACGAGCGCAACCCUUCGUCCUUUACGUUGCCAGCAUUAAGUUGGGCACUCUAGAGGGACUGCCAGGGAUAACCUGGAGGAAGGUGGGAUGACGCCAAAUCAUCAUGCCCCUUAUGCUUAGGGCUACACACGUACUACAAUGGGUGGUACGAGAGGGCAGCCAAGUCGUGAGGCCGAGCUAAUCCCUUAAAGCCACUCUCAGUUCGGAUUGUA